rnacentral:tRNA from 1 species
GUAAAAAUGCCAGAAAAUUUGAUGGAUUUGGUUUAGGACCAAAAUAUGGCUAUUUGCCUUUUUACU